rnacentral:rRNA from 1 species
UACAGAGGGGGCAAGCGUUAUUCGGAAUUAUUGGGCGUAAAGGGCGCGUAGGCGGCCUGACAAGUGGAAGGUGAAAUCCCUCGGCUUAACCGAGGAACUGCCCUCCAAACUGUUUGGCUUGAGACCGGGAGAGGUGAGUGGAAUUCCCAGUGUAGCGGUGAAAUGCGUAGAUAUUGGGAGGAACACCAGUGGCGAAGGCGGCUCACUGGACCGGUACUGACGCUGAGGCGCGAAAGCGUGGGGAGCGAACGGG